ACUCUUAGCGGUGGAUCACUUGGCUCGUGGAUCGAUGAAGAACGCAGCUAGCUGCGAUAAAUAGUGCGAAUUGCAGACGCAUUGAGCACAAAGAUUUCGAACGCACAUUGCACCAUCGGGUUGAUUCCCGAUGGUACGUCUGGUUGAGGGUCAAUAAAUAAGACGAUAUAAUUUAUCAAAUAAUUCAUUCAAACAUUCAAAUUUGAUGCGAAUAUUUUGUUUGUUUGAUAAAAGAUUAUUUGAUUCGAAUUAUUUUAUUCAUCAGGUGAUUUUAAAAGAAGAGAGUAAUCUUGAAAUCCCCUGAUAAGUUGUACAAAAAAAAAAAAAAUAAGGAGUAAAAUAGAAAUACAUAUAUUUUACUUACUUAUAAUUUUAAACAUAUUAUAAAUAUAUAAUUGCAUCUUUCAUAUAUAUAUAUAUAAGCAAGGGAAGAUGUCAAUUAUCUAUCAUCAUUUUAUAUUCAUUAUAAUGAUUGAUUCAUUUAUUGCUUUUUGUUUCAUGAUAAAAGGAAUAAAUAAGGAUAGAUAAUGAAUGAUGAAAUGAUUGAUCCAAUCAAAUAUAAUAUGUUUUCUAUCAUUUCUUUGACCUCAACUCAGUCGUGAUUACCCGCUGAAUUUAAGCAUAUAACUAAGCGGAGGAAAAGAAACUAACGAGGAUUUCCUUAGUAACGGCGAGUGAAAAGGAAAAAGCCCAACGCUGAAUCCAAUAGAUAUUUGUCUAUAUGGAAAUGUAGCGUAUAGGUGUAACUAUCCGUAACAUAUUUUUACACCCAAAGUCCCCUUGAGCGGGGCUACAGUCCAUAGAAGGUGCUAGACCUGUACGGGUGAAAAAAGUUACGGUAGGUUAUUCCUUGGAGUCGGGUUGUUUGAGAUUGCAGCCCAAAGAGGGUGGUAAACCUCAUCUAAGGCUAAAUACGACCACGAGACCGAUAGCAAACAAGUACCGUGAGGGAAAGUUGCAAAGAACUUUGAAGAGAGAGUUCAAGAGGGCGUGAAACCGCUGAGAUGGAAACGGAUAGAGUUAACGAAACUUAUCGGUAUUCAACCAAUCAAUUUAGCAAUCUUAAUUGAUUUAUUAUUCAUUAAUAUUUUUUUAUUAAUGAAUAAAAUGAUAUUUAAGAUAUGAAUGCUAAAUUUAUAAUAUAAUGAUUGGUGUAUUUAUCGAUGGUAUGCAUCGAGAGCUUCGUUUUAGCAUAUUAAUAUAGCUAAUUUAGUGGAUCAAUUAUUUCAAUUGAUAAUUGAAACCCUAAAUCUAUUGAAAUAUGUCUUAAAUGAAGUUUUAAUCCCAUAUGUGUAACUUUCACUUGAAAUAAUAGUGACAUGCAUCGAUUAUAAUUUUUGCUAAUUACAUUUACAUGUGGUCGCAUGCGACUUUAUCGGUAAAUGUUGAUGAAAUAAUUGGUAAUAUUAUAAUAUUGUAUGCAUUAUUAAAAGUUACAUCUCGAUGUGAACGUUAAUCACCUAUCUGACCCGUCUUGAAACACGGACCAAGGAGUCUAGCAUAUACGCAAGUUAUUGGGUAGUAAACCUGAUUAUAAAAGCAUAAUGAAAGUAAAGAUUAUCUUUGGUAUAAUUGAUAUGUGAUCUAUAUAUUAUAUGUAUAUGUAAAAGUAUGCAUAUAUUAUAUAUAGCGUAACAUAACCCCGUUCAUAUUGCAUGCAAUAGGGCGGAGGUAGAGCGUAUAUGCUGGGACCCGAAAGAUGGUGAACUAUACCUGAGCAGGAUGAAGCCAGAGGAAACUCUGGUGGAGGUCCGAAGCGAUUCUGACGUGCAAAUCGAUCGUCUGACUUUGGUAUAGGGGCGAAAGACUAAUCGAACUAUCUAGUAGCUGGUUCCCUCUGAAGUUUCCCUCAGGAUAGCUGGAGUACGUAAUGAAGCAGUUAUAUUCGGUAAAGCGAAUGAUUAGAGGAAUUGUGGGACGAAACGUCUUCAACCUAUUCUCAAACUUUCAAUGAGUAUGACGUCUUGCUUGCUUAAAUGAAGCGUAGACAUUGAAUGUGUGCUCCAAGUGGGCCAUUUUUGGUAAGCAGAACUGGCGCUGUGGGAUGAACCAAACGUUGAGUUAAAGUGCCAAACUUUCCGCUCAUGAGACCCCAUGAAAGGCGUUGGUUGAUAUAGACAGCAGGACGGUGGCCAUGGAAGUUGGAAACCGCUAAGGAGUGUGUAACAACUCACCUGCCGAAUCAACUAGCCCUGAAAAUGGAUGGCGCUUGAGCGGGAGACUUAUACUCAACCGUUGCAUGGCUUGUGUUAAAAAAUUUGAAAAAAAGAAAGAAAGAAAUGGGAAACCUGGCCGCAACGAGUAAGAGGGUCGCAAUGGUUAGCGUUGAAGACUUUGGGCGUAGGCCCAGUUGGAGCUUCCAUUGGUGCAGAUCUUGGUGGUAGUAGCAAAUAUUCAAGUGAGAUCCUUGAAGACUGAAGUGGAGAAGGGUUCCACGUGAACAGCAGUUGAAUGUGGGUCAGUCGAUCCUAAGAUAUUGGCUAAUGCCGUUUUUAAUAAAAUAGAGGAAUGGAGGUGUAAUCCAUCUGAUAAAUCGAAAGGGAAACGGGUUAAUAUUCCCGUACCUGGACACGGAGAUAAAUGCUCAUCGUGAGGAUUUAGCGCGGUAACGCAAAUGAACUCGGAAACAUUGAGGAAAGCCCGAGCCAGAGUUCUCUUUUCUGGUUAAGGAACGGACUCCCUGGAAUCGGUUCAGCCGGAGAUAGGGAUGUUGUUUCCGUAAAGCGCCACGGUUCCUGUGGUGUCUCGUGCGCUUUGUUCGAUCCAUGAAAAUCCGAGGGAGGCUAUUUGAAUUUCGUGCCAGAUCGUACCCAUAUCCGCAGCAGGUCUCCAAGGUGAACAGCCUCUAGUCGAUAGAAUAAUGUAGGUAAGGGAAGUCGGCAAAUUAGAUCCGUAACUUCGGGAUAAGGAUUGGCUCUAAGGACUGGGCCGGUCGGGCUGUAAUGUGAAGUGAGUACGGUUUGAUCCAUGCAGUGUAACAUUAAUGAAUCAUGCAUUCAUUGAUGAAACUCGGCUAGUGUUCGAACUGUCUUAUGGACCGUUACAGCUGCGUAUCACAUUUGCUUUUUUUCAACAAAGUGAAUGUUUAUUGAUACUUCGGCCGGCGUUAAACAGUCAACUUAGAACUGGCACGGACUCGGGGAAUCCGACUGUCUAAUUAAAACAGAGGAGACAGAUGGCCCUUGCGGGCGUUGACUGUCUCUGAUUUCUGCCCAGUGCUCUGAAUGUAAAAGUGAAGAAAUUCAACCAAGCGCGGGUAAACGGCGGGAGUAACUAUGACUCUCUUAAGGUAGCCAAAUGCCUCGUCAUCUAAUUCGUGACGCGCAUGAAUGGAUUAACGAGAUUCCCACUGUCCCUAUCUACUAUCUAGCGAAACCACAGCCAAGGGAACGGGCUUGGCAAACACAGCGGGGAAAGAAGACCCUGUUGAGCUUGACUCUAGUCCGACUCUGUGAAGAGUCAUGAGAGGUGUAGCAUAAGUGGGAGGUUUUUGUAUUCUUGUACAAAUACCAACAGUGAAAUACCACUACUUUCAUCGAUUCUUUACUUAUUCGGUAAAACGAGAAUUGAAGCAUUAUAUGUGUUUCGAAAUUUUUGAUUUAAGUUAAACUACUCGGUGGUUUAACGACUCGCACCGAAGACAGUGUCAGGCGGGGAGUUUGACUGGGGCGGUACAUCUGUCAAAACGUAACGCAGGUGUCCUAAGGCUAGCUCAGAGAGGACGGAAACCUCUCGUAGAGUAAAAGGGCAAAAGCUCGCUUGAUCUUGAUUUCCAGUACGAAUACAGACCGCGAAAGCGUGGCCUAUCGAUCCUUUUGAAUUUCUUAGAAGGUUUCUAGCAAGAGGUGUCAGAAAAGUUACCACAGGGAUAACUGGCUUGUGGCAGCCAAGCGUCCAUAGCGACGUUGCUUUUUG